GGCACGGACCCCAGGGAGAGCGCGGAGGCGGCCACGCGGGUCCUUCCUCCACCUGGGCCCAGGCACUUCCGGUCUCGUAGGCGUCGGGGAAAGCUCUUUGCGGACUUCGCUGCGGGCUUAGGACCUCCGACAUGAAGGGAAGCGGGGGCUGGAGGACGCAGAGACUCUCCCUGGGCUGCUCGAAGGCCAAGGCUGUAACGCGGCUCCGGUCCUCGUUUUCCCGCCGUCGGUGCUGGCUGCCUGCAGUUGCCAUGGUGACGCGGGCCGCGGGGCAGGGCAAGGUCCCAAGUCGCGUGCAGUUGCUCCUCGCCGUCGCCACUCUCCUGCCCCAGGCUGUGGGUAGCAGACGUCAAAAGAGAUACACCAGAGCGCGACCCGGACUCAGGACCGCCCGGGUGGGGGCUGCUUCGGGCAUUGGACACACUUCCCGGGCGCCUCGUGACCGCACACUCCUGGCCUCACACCUCGGGGUGGGUUUGCACGAGGGGGGGCCGAGCCCUGUCGCUGAGCGACACUGACCUUCUUAAGGCCACCUAGCUUUGGGUACAAUGGAUGUCUCAUACUGAAUUUUAAUCAGCUUCUUACUGGAGGACAUUAAUGUUUGUUCAAUCUUCGUUACUACAAAAAAUACUAGAGUGGAGUGGUAAUAUCCUUGUAUGUACGUGCACACGUGCAACUUUCUCUGUAAAUUUCCAGAAGUAAAAUUUCUAUGUCA
ensembl:lncRNA novel transcript